GACGUAGGGCGCGAGCGUUGUCCGGAUUUAUUGGGCGUAAAGAGCUCGUAGGCGGCUCGUUGCGUCGGCUGUGAAAACCCGCAGCUCAACUGUGGGCUUGCAGCUGAUACGGGCGGGCUGGGAUUCGGUAGGGGAGACUGGAAUUCCUGGUGUAGCGGUGAAAUGCGCAGAUAUCAGGAGGAACACCGGUGGCGAAGGCGGGUCUCUGGGCCGAUAUCGACGCUGAGGAGCGAAAGCGUGGGGAGCGAACAGG
rnacentral:rRNA from 2 species